rnacentral:lncRNA from 1 species
UCCCUUCUCAAAAGUCAAGACAUUAACUGGUGGACUGGAGUGCUGUGGAUUAUUGUGAUGCUUUUAUCAGCUGCUUGGACUCUCAUUCUGACGGCACCCAUUCGCUGCAGAGCAUCCAUUUUUGGGCGAACUAUUCCUUUAAGCAUUGGAAACUGCAAGCACCUGAUACUUAAUCAAACAUUAGGUCUGACAUGCUGCUGUUUGCAUACAAAUUCGGACACCGAACAGCAGUUACUAGUUAAUAUUUAGCAGGGUUUAAAUGUGCCGCCUGCCAUCUGUUGCUCACCUAUUUGAAGUGUUUUUGUAUUUCGUAGGACACAGGACAGGAGUAGCCCAGUGUUGAGGACUGAAGUCCGUGAUAUUGAAUGAGUCUCGUGUCUUCCCUUAUCAGCAAACAUCGGACUGCUGUGCGUCCCUCCAGCUUCAUUUGUUGUAGCCAGUGAAGCAAACACACACACUUCAGUCUGGAACCCGAUAAGCGGCAUGAACAGAAAGAGGAAUGAGCUUCAGCGUCCUUUAUGUGCGGUUCUCGCGGGACGGCCCCAGAACAGAGGAGCAUUGUGGGACAGGAGGCAGUCAGGGCAGACGAUUUGCAUGUUAGCUUGUGGAGGAGGAAUGUUGGCGACGGCCACAAAAACCAGUUUUGCACAUCGACCCACAACAAUGACUGGAUUAAAAAUGGCAUUUGCAGAAUCCGAGUUCCCCCAACAGAGCCUAGAAAAGCAGACCAGACAUCGUGUUUGUGGAGAGAUCAGAGGAUUGGGUCCUCCAUCACUACAACGAGCGCAAUCAGGCUGUACAUCUCCCGGCUAAUGUUCUGUUUGUGUUGGUCACGUCGAGCAGAUGCGGAGGGCUGUCUGGGGCCACGAGAGGCACAUAACCGCCUGGCCAGGUGGGAAAGCGGAGAGGAAAGCCGAUUGUAUGCUGGAGGAGUGAGAACAUACACACAUACUUAUAGAGUGACAUGAGUAAUCAACACAGAGGAAAGCUCAGAUUAAAUGUGACCCGAUCAAACCCCAUCAUAGUGGACAUUCAUAUUGAAUGACAAAACUCACUGAGAGGCUGCAUUCUUAUUUUGCUCUUGCAUAAUAUGUUUAAGGCAUAUUCUAUAGCAGGGCUGUCCAAACUCGGUCCUGGAGGGCCGGUGUCCUGCAAAGUUUAG